CCUACGGGGUGCUGCAGUGGGGGAUAUUGCACAAUGGGGGGAACCCUGAUGCAGCGACGCCGCGUGUGGGAAGACGGUCCUCUGGAUUGUAAACCACUGUCCCCAGGGACGAAAAUGACGGUACCUGGGGAGGAAGCUCCGGCUAACUACGUGCCAGCAGCCGCGGUAAUACGUAGGGAGCGAGCGUUGUCCGGAAUUACUGGGUGUAAAGGGAGCGUAGGUGGGGAUGCAAGUUGGGUGUCAAAACUACCGGCUCAACUGGUAGUCGCACUCAAAACUGCAGCUCUUGAGUGAAGUAGAGGCAGGCGGAAUUCCUAGUGUAGCGGUAAAAUGCGUAGAUAUUAGGAGGAACACCAGUGGCGAAGGCGGCCUGCUGGGCUUUUACUGACGCUGAGGCUCGAAAGUGUGGGGAGCAAACAGGAUUAGAUACCCUGGUAGUC
rnacentral:rRNA from 1 species